rnacentral:sRNA from 1 species
GCAGGGAGGAGGCAGAUCUUCCCUCUGCUCUCCCUCAGCAGGAGAGUACCGCACGUGGUGAUCACCAGUCCAGGCAGGGAGGGCCCUGUGAGUGCAAAGACAUUGACAUCCAUCUUUGUGAACUUCAGUGGUGAUAGAGAGCUCUCUGGACACCAGGAUGCCUCAGGGGCUAGUGGGAAUCUCAUCUUUGGCCAAAGCCCUGCUGAGAGUCUACCUCCCUGCCGGGUCUGGGUCUUGGGAGCUGGGAGUGCCUCUGCCAGGCCACACCUGCUCCACUGCCUCUGUUCUGUUGCAGUGAAGUGCUCCAUGUGCAAGAGCGUCUCGGACACCUACGACCCCUACUUGGACGUCGCGCUGGAGAUCCGGCAAGCUGCGAAUAUUGUGCGUGCUCUGGAACUUUUUGUGAAAGCAGAUGUCCUGAGUGGAGAGAAUGCCUACAUGUGUGCUAAAUGCAAGAAGAAGGUUCCAGCCAGCAAGCGCUUCACCAUCCACAGAACAUCCAAUGUCUUAACCCUUUCCCUCAAGCGCUUUGCCAACUUCAGCGGAGGGAAGAUCACCAAG